rnacentral:rRNA from 1 species
UUGAACGCUGGCGGCAUGCUUUACACAUGCAAGUCGAACGGCAGCGCGGGCUUCGGCCUGGCGGCGAGUGGCGAACGGGUGAGUAAUACAUCGGAACGUGCCCAGUAGUGGGGGAUAGCUCGGCGAAAGCCGGAUUAAUACCGCAUACGACCUGAGGGUGAAAGCGGGGGAUCUUCGGACCUCGCGCUAUUUGAGCGGCCGAUGGCAGAUUAGCUAGUUGGUGGGGUAAAGGCCUACCAAGGCGACGAUCUGUAGCUGGUCUGAGAGGACGACCAGCCACACUGGGACUGAGACACGGCCCAGACUCCUACGGGAGGCAGCAGUGGGGAAUUUUGGACAAUGGGCGAAAGCCUGAUCCAGCAAUGCCGCGUGUGUGAUGAAGGCCUUCGGGUUGUAAAGCACUUUUGGCGGGAACGAAAAGGACUGUGCCAAUACCACGGUUCGAUGACGGUACCCGCAGAAUAAGCACCGGCUAACUACGUG